GCCAGACUCCUACGGGAGGCAGCAGUGGGGGAUAUUGCACAAUGGGGGAAACCCUGAUGCAGCGACGCCGCGUGAGUGAAGAAGUAUUUCGGUAUGUAAAGCUCUAUCAGCAGGGAAGAAAAAAGACGGUACCUGACUAAGAAGCCCCGGCUAACUACGUGCCAGCAGCCGCGGUAAUACGUAGGGGGCAAGCGUUAUCCGGAUUUACUGGGUGUAAAGGGAGCGUAGACGGCAAUACAAGUCGGAAGUGAAAUACCCGGGCUCAACCUGGGAACUGCUUUGGAAACUGUAUGGCUGGAGUGCUGGAGAGGUAAGCGGAAUUCCUAGUGUAGCGGUGAAAUGCGUAGAUAUUAGGAGGAACACCAGUGGCGAAGGCGGCUUACUGGACAGUAACUGACGUUGAGGCUCGAAAGCGUGGGGAGCAAACAGGAUUAGAUUCCCUCGUA
rnacentral:rRNA from 1 species